rnacentral:SRP_RNA from 1 species
UCAACCGAAGGUUCGCUGCCGGUCUCGAUAAUCCUCCGUCCGAGGCGCCUGGUGUGAUUGCACACGCUUUCGACGGCUUCAUCCGACAGGAUACGCCCUGGCAGGU